GUAAAUAUAGUUUUAAUAAAAAUGCUAGAUUGUGAUUCUAGAGAUAGAAGUUAAAAUCUUCUUACUUACC
rnacentral:tRNA from 3 species